AGGCUACCAUAUCUCAGAGUACAAUACAAUACGUCACCAUAUGACAACCCAUUCCAUUCCAUCAUUGAGUGCAUUUACAGUUCCAGCCAUUUCGUUUCAAAUUUUGCAAACAAUCAUUGGAGCUGUCAGAAGAAUGCUUCAGCUGAUGUUAACUGCCAGAAGACUUGAAGUCUAUUCCAAGAUGAGGCCUGUAUAGAAUUUUCCAAAAGUACAAGGUUUUGCUACUAUUAUUUUUGGUUAUACAAAAUGAGCUGAUGCCACUAAUGGUAAGUGACAAUUAAUCGGUGAUCCAUUCACUGUUGGUUUGCAAAAUUUCACUCAGGAGAUUUAAGGCUACAAAAUGAAAUCUGUAGCCUUUGUUCUUCCUCUAUUGAUUUGAAUAAAUUAAAUGAUUUAAUCGAAUCAGAUCCAUGAAAGUAUGUGUAAGAUAUUGCCCAUGCACUAAAUAUAUGUUUCAACUAUUUUGCAACACUUGGUGAUAAUAGGAAAAGUAAGGAAGCUUGUCAAGUGGUGAAUAAAUGUAGAUGACAUGAUUUCAGGUAGCAAAUCUAGUAGCCUUAGAAAAAUCCCAGUUAGUCAAGGUUUUACUUAUCUCAGGUGAAUACACAGUUCUUAGAACACACAAAAGAUUUACUAUUAAUGCUACUGUAUAUAUGAAGAAUGCAGACAUUAGGGUUUCAUAUAGGUAGCAUGACUGCCAUUAAAACUUUACUUUUAUUUACUAAACUGUAAAA